UCCUCUUUAGCUCAGUUGGUUAGAGCACCUGACUGUUAAUCAGGGGGUCUUUGGUUCAAGUCCAAAAAGGGGAGCCA
rnacentral:tRNA from 1 species